UCUGUGGCUCAAUGGUAGACUGCUUGCCUGGAAAGAAUGAGGCCCUGGGUUCAAUUCCCAGCACAAGAA
rfam:Ictidomys tridecemlineatus contig017107, whole genome shotgun sequence.